AUUGAACGCUGGCGGCAGGCUUAACACAUGCAAGUCGAGCGGAGAUGAGGUGCUUGCACCUUAUCUUAGCGGCGGACGGGUGAGUAAUGCUUAGGAAUCUGCCUAUUAGUGGGAGACAACAUUCCGAAAGGAAUGCUAAUACCGCAUACGCCCUACGGGGGAAAGCAGGGGAUCUUCGGACCUUGCGCUAAUAGAUGAGCCUAAGUCGGAUUAGCUAGUUGGUGGGGUAAAGGCCUACCAAGGCGACGAUCUGUAGCGGGUCUGAGAGGAUGAUCCGCCACACUGGGACUGAGACACGGCCCAGACUCCUACGGGAGGCAGCAGUGGGGAAUAUUGGACAAUGGGCGGAAGCCUGAUCCAGCCACGCCGCGUGUGUGAAGAAGGCCUUUUGGUUGUAAAGCACUUUAAGCGAGGAGGAGGCUACCUGGAUUAAUACUCUAGGAUAGUGGACGUUACUCGCAGAAUAAGCACCGGCUAACUCUGUGCCAGCCGCCGCAGUAAUAC
rnacentral:rRNA from 1 species